rnacentral:misc_RNA from 1 species
AAAAACUUGUAACCCCACAAAAGCUAAAAAGGGUACUGAGGUACUGAACUGAAGCUCCUCAUAUUACCCUUCAUUUCAGGCGGAUAAACCGGUGGUUUUUUCACAGAUCCAAACUUUACCUUAUCUUUUUUGAGGGUGUUGGUUAGUUUUGAGUGAUGCUGAUCUGUGUAGCCAUUUGAAUCUGUAGAUUGUUUUGCUGGUGGCAAUAUGGUUGUGUAAAGGAGAGAAUCAAGAAUUGAAAUGGAGGAAGGAUUCGAGUUUAGGCCGUGGGAUGAAUUGUUACCCGAUGCACUCGGGCUAAUAUUUAGAAACCUUUCUCUUCAAGAGGUGCUAACUGUUGUUCCAAGGGUUUGCAAGUCAUGGGGAAAAGCAGUAAAGGGUCCUUAUUGUUGGCAAGAGAUUGACAUUGAGGAAUGGAGCAAAAAUCGCUGCCCUGAAAACCUUGAUCGGAUGCUUCGUUUGCUUAUUCCAAGAAGCUGUGGUUCCCUUCGCAAACUCUGUGUCUCUGGUCUCUCAGACAAAUCGAGCUUUGAAUUCAUUGCAAACAAUGCCAAAUCUCUGCAGACAUUGCGGUUACCAAAGUGUGAAUUAAGCGACUCCGUAGUGGAACAAGUUGCAGGAACAUUUUCCAACAUUACAUUUUUGGAUGUAAGCUACUGCAUAAAAAUAGGUGCAAGAGCCCUGGAAGCCAUUGGGAAGCAUUGUAAAUAUCUGACUGGUUUGCGUCGAACUAUGCACCCACUCGAGGUUAUCGACAAGCUCUCACAAGAUGAUGAAGCCCUUGCAAUUGCUACAUCGAUGCCUAAGCUCAAACAACUGGAAAUUGCUUACAUGCUGGUUGGUACAUUGAGCAUAUCAGAGGUUCUUCAAAACUGCAGGCAGCUCGAGCUGUUAGACGUAAGGGGUUGUUGGAAUGUGAACCUUGAUGAGAACUUUGUCAAGAAAUUCAAUAAGCUAAAGGUUGUCGGACCUGUUGUCGUGGAUUGCUAUGAUAAGAAUGGCUGGGACAACUGCUCGGACUAUUCAGGUUCUUCUGGUUAUAUACCAUGGGACUUUGUGGCAGGUGACAUUGAUGAUGACUUUGACGAUGAUGAGAUGUCUGAUGACUACUGGGAAGACGAGGAACAUGUAGAGGAUGUGGAAAUGUGGUUCUACGAUGACUUAAAUGCCGUGGAUGCUGGAUAUGAUUGGCCCCAAUCUCCUUGAGGUUUGAUAUUGAACUACGUUCUAAUUCAAUUUCCAGAAGUUUUUCGUAUACUAUAUCUUGUAUCUGCUAAUGACUCUGCUUAUACUACUAUCGAAAUGAAAGUCUGCUUGCUUUCUAAGAUGUAAAUGUGAUUUCUGUGUUCAUCCUCUGGUUAUAUGUACUCCCCGGAAUCAUAAUAAAAAAUUGUCAUUGU